rnacentral:miRNA from 1 species
UAUCAUUUCAGUAAGGGUUGCAAAAUAGUGAUUCCUUUUGCAUUAACAGUUUCUCCUAUUAUUAAUAUCUUGCAUUGGUGUGGUACAUUUGUUGUGAUUGAUGAACCAAUAUUAAUAAAUUAUUAUUAUAAUUAAAAAAUUUUUUAAAUUUUGGUGAAAGUAUACUUGGCAAAGCAUACACUCAUUCAACAAUUUCUAUGUGUACAAUUCAAUGCAUUAUUUACAAUCUUCACAUUGUGUCACCAUUCUCACUA